CGCCACCACCCUCCUCCACGCCGGCCAGCGCCGUCCUAGCCGCGGCCGCUGCUGCUUUCUGCGUGACUCGCGGAGCCGUCAUCGCAGCGGCCGCCGUUGAGAGCUCUGUCCGUGCAUUUCUUUUCUUCUUUUUUUUACCUUUUGAGAGUAGAUUUUCAGCGGUUGAGCUCUUCUCUGGUCCACCGAGAUUAAUGUAAACCGUCCAUUAAUACUCCAUCCAAAUACUCCAUAUAUCUAAGUUGGAGUAUCAGGAAGUAACAACAAUUCUGGGCCUUUAGAUUGAAAAAAAUGGACGGUUCACAUUAAUCUAGGGAUACCAGAGAAGAGCUCCUCUUCGGAGGCACCUUUCCUUCUUUCACAGGUUUCUCUCUGCAUGAGAAUUAAAACCAGAUCUGGUUAAUCACACUUAGCUAAUGAAAACGGUAUCGGUUAACCCAGUUCCAGUUCCGGUUAAUUGGUUUUUUCCUGCUCCCCCCCAGCUUCAGACUUCAGUAGUUUUUUUUUUUAGGGACAUACUUCAGUUAGUUGGACAUCUUAACAAAUAACAACCCAGCGAUGCUGACAGCAAAUGCUAGUAGAAAACAAUACCAGAAGACAUCCCGGAAUUGAAGGCCUCACAUGAACGUGCCUUUCAUCAUGAUGAGGAAAGGGAUCUGGGCUGGAUAACGC
rnacentral:lncRNA from 1 species